rnacentral:rRNA from 1 species
GACAGAGGGGGCAAGCGUUGCUCGGAAUUACUGGGCGUAAAGGGCGCGUAGGCGGGAUGGCAAGUCGGUCGUGAAAUCCCUCGGCUCAACUGAGGAUCGUCGAUCGAUACUGCCGUUCUUGAGGAUUGCAGAGGAGACUGGAAUUCCCGGUGUAGCGGUGAAAUGUGUAGAGAUCGGGAGGAACACCGGUGGCGAAGGCAGCACUCUGGGACGUGACUGACGCUGAGACGCGAAAGCGUGGGGAGCAAACAGG